CCCAAGGUCUCUAACAAGAGUUUAAGAUACUCACGUAGAAUAAAAGAAAAGGAAAUAUCAAAGUUGUAGAUUAAAAAGUAACGAUUCAAUUGUUUAUUCUAAUGUACUACUUAUUAACCAAAAAUAACCAAACUCGCUAAAGCUAAACCUAUACUAUACUGGAAAACGAUAACAUAAAAUAGGACAAAAUCCUAAACAACAAAUAGCACUAAGUCAAA
rnacentral:lncRNA from 1 species